UCCUGGCUCAGGACGAACGCUGGCGGCGUGCCUAAUACAUGCAAGUCGAGCGGACAGAAGGGAGCUUGCUCCCGGAUGUUAGCGGCGGACGGGUGAGUAACACGUGGGUAACCUGCCUGUAAGACUGGGAUAACUCCGGGAAACCGGAGCUAAUACCCGGAUAGUUCCUUGAACCGCAUGGUUCAAGGAUGAAAGACGGUUUCGGCUGUCACUUUACAGAUGGACCCGCGGCGCAUUAGCUAGUUGGUGGGGUAAUGGCUCACCAAGGCGACGAUGCGUAGCCGACCUGAGAGGGUGAUCGGCCACACUGGGACUGAGACACGGCCCAGACUCCUACGGGAGGCAGCAGUAGGGAAUCUUCCGCAAUGGACGAAAGUCUGACGGAGCAACGCCGCGUGAGUGAUGAAGGUUUUCGGAUCGUAAAGCUCUGUUGUUAGGGAAGAACAAGUGCGAGAGUAACUGCUCGCACCUUGACGGUACCUAACCAGAAAGCCACGGCUAACUACGUGCCAGCAGCCGCGGUAAUACGUAGGUGGCAAGCGUUGUCCGGAAUUAUUGGGCGUAAAGGGCUCGCAGGCGGUUUCUUAAGUCUGAUGUGAAAGCCCCCGGCUCAACCGGGGAGGGUCAUUGGAAACUGGGAAACUUGAGUGCAGAAGAGGAGAGUGGAAUUCCACGUGUAGCGGUGAAAUGCGUAGAGAUGUGGAGGAACACCAGUGGCGAAGGCGACUCUCUGGUCUGUAACUGACGCUGAGGAGCGAAAGCGUGGGGAGCGAACAGGAUUAGAUACCCUGGUAGUCCACGCCGUAAACGAUGAGUGCUAAGUGUUAGGGGGUUUCCGCCCCUUAGUGCUGCAGCU
rnacentral:rRNA from 1 species